UUAAUGAAGAAAUUCUAGAAGUGUGCUACUUAAAACUUAGAACAAAUUGGAGGUGCGGAGGGAAGUAAGAGGAAGGCGGCCCAAGCGCGGCCAGGCGGACCCGGCCAGGUGGGCGCUAGAGGCUGCGGGAACAGAUGGAUACGACGAUGCUGAAUUUGCGGAAUCUGUUUGAGCAGCUUGCACGCCGGGGGGAGAUUCUCAGUGAAGGAAAUGAACUCCAAUUCAUCCAGUUGGCAAAGGACUUUGAGGAUUUCCGUAAAAAGUGGCAGAGAACAGACCACGAGCUGGGGAAGUACAAGGAUCUUUUGAUGAAAGCAGAGACUGAGCGUAGUGCUCUGGAUGUUAAACUCAAGCACGCAGCAAUCCGGUGGAUGUCGAGAUCAAACGGAGACCGCGAGCUGAGGCUGACUGCGAAAAGCUGGAAAGACAGAGUCAGCUGAUUCGAGAGAUGCUCAUGUUGACACAUCGGGCAGCAUUCAGCUAAGUGAGGAGCAAAGAUCAGCUCUGGCUUUUCUCAACAGAGGCCAGCCGUCCAGCGGCAAUGCUGGGAACAAAAGAUUGUCGACUAUUGACGAAUCUGGUUCCAUUUUAUCAGAUAUCAGCUUUGACAAGACUGACGAAUCGCUGGAUUGGGAUUCUUCUUUGGUAAAGACUUUCAAACUGAAGAAGAGAGAAAAGAGGCGCUCUAGUAGCCGACAGUUCCUUGAUGGUCCCCCUGGACCUGUAAAGAAGACUCGUUCCAUUGGCUCCACAGUAGACCAGGGGACAUGAAUCCAUAGUUGCAAAAACUACAGUGACUGUUCCCAAUGAUGGCGGGCCCAUCGAAGCUGUGUCCACAAUUGAGACUGUGCCAUACUGGACAAGAAGCCGAAGGAAAACAGGUACUUUGCAACCUUGGAAUAGCGACUCCACCUUGAGCAAUAGGCAGCUGGAGCCAAUAACUGAGACAGACAGUUCCAGCACUCCACAGAGACACAUUAGCUUUCCUCAUGAUUCACUUGCAGAGAGUGGCUCAGAGCCCAAACACUAAAAUGGAUGUGGCCAAUCUGGCUAAAGUCUUUGGGCCUACCAUAGUUGCCCAUGCUGUGCCCAAUCCAGAUCCAGCGGUAAUGUUACAGGACAUCAAGCGUCAGCCCAAGGUGGUAGAACGCCUGCUUUCACUGCCCCUGGAAUACUGGAGUCAGUUCAUGAUGGUGGAACAAGAGAACAUUGACCCCAUGCAUGUCAUUGAAAACUCAAAUGCCUUUUCAACACCACAGACACCAGAUAUUAAAGUGAGUUUACUGGGGCCUGUGACCACUCCUGAGCAUCAGCUUCUCAAGACUCCUUCAUCUAGUUCCCUGUUGCAGAGAGUGCGCUCCACCCUCACCAAGAACACGCCCAGAUUUGGGAGCAAAAGCAAGUCUGCCACCAACCUAGGACGACAAGGCAACUUUUUUGCUUCUCCGAUGCUCAAGUGAAGUCACAUCUCCUAUUACUUGCCCGCAUUCCCUGGCUGCAAGGAAGGGCGCACCUGUAUUCUCUGCUCUGCAGCCUCCUGUACUCAUUACUACUUUUAGCAUUCUCCAGGCUUUUCAUCAAGUUUAAUUGGGCCUGGGGGUUUUAUUAAAACUAUAUAUAUCUCCCUCUCUUUCUCCUCAAGUAAUGUCAUAUCAACACCUUGUGCUGUCGUUGUUGGGAGCUUUUAGAUGGGAGAUCUUUACAGCGGUAGAAGGGAGAAUAUGGAAUUCAUUGUGACUGGGGGCGGGGGGGGGGCUGGGGCGGGCACCUCCCUUUGGCUUAAAGCCAAAUGCUGCUCAUGACUGAUCCCUCUCUGGUGUUAUUCAGAACGAAUUUCCAUGAGACAGUGACAGAAGCUGCACCUCUUUGGUUAAGACUGACUUGUCUCAGGGUGGGAGGUGGGAGGGCAGGGUAAAGAAAGGUUGGACAGAGGAUUUAGGAUGGCUCCUUCUGAGAACUUGGAGGUCCCCUUCCCCCAGUAUGAACUCAGCUGUAACGUGGAGCCUUCAUAAAAAUGGAUAAGGUGAGGACAGAACCAGUGAUGGGGGUGUGCUUAUUAGCUUCAAUUCGGAUUGAUUAGGUGUAAUAGUGUUAAGUGGCACAACCUUGUAAAAGUGAUACUACAACUUGUAUUUAUCUCUAAUGGGCCUCUGGCUGGACUUUGGUUUGCUUGGGGUCAAAGCCAGUUUGUAUUUCAGUUGAAUUCGUUCUGAUGCUUGACCCUCCUGUCCCCUUGUCCAUUGGAGCCCGACUUCUAAAGGUCCUAUGCCGUCUAUUUGGCGUCCCAGUUCACAAUUAAGAGUAGGCUAUAAAGGGACAUUGUCAAUAUUUUGUGUGGCAAGAAAAGCCACAGUCAUUUUGUCUUUGCACUUUGGUUGCUAAAAUCUUCCUAUGGAACAUAGCCACAUCUAGAUAAAUAUGAACUUUUUCUUUUAUUAAAAUUAUUUCCAAUGUCUACAAAAAUGCUUU